CUACGGGAUGCAGCAGUAAGGAAUAUUGGUCAAUGGACGAAAGUCUGAACCAGCCAUGCCGCGUGAAGGAUUAAGGUCCUCUGGAUUGUAAACUUCUUUUAUGUGGGACGAAAAAAGGUCUUUCUAGAUCACUUGACGGUACCAUAUGAAUAAGCACCGGCUAACUCCGUGCCAGCAGCCGCGGUAAUACGGGAGGGUGCAAGCGUUAUCCGGAUUCACUGGGUUUAAAGGGUGCGUAGGCGGGCAGGUAAGUCAGUGGUGAAAUCCUGGAGCUCAACUCAAGAACUGCCAUUGAUACUAUCUGUCUUGAAUAUUGUGGAGGUAAGCGGAAUAUGUCAUGUAGCGGUGAAAUGCUUAGAUAUGACAUAGAACACCCAUUGCGAAGGCAGCUUACUACGCAUAUAUUGACGCUGAGGCACGAAAGCGUGGGGAUCAAACAGGAUUAGAUACCCGCGUAGUC
rnacentral:rRNA from 1 species